CGUUGAAACACUGGUUUCCGUAUGAUACUGAAGUUAAGCUAUAUCGAGCCUGGUCAGUACUUAGAUGGGUGACUGCUUGGGAAUAUCAGAUGCUGUAAG